AUAAAUAAAAUGAUCAAAUAUAUAAAAGAAACUAUCGAUAAUAUAUACAAAUAAACUCACCCUGCACAAGGCGCAGGUCUUAUCCUAGUUUAUAAUAAAUGAGACUUUUCUAGCAUUCUCGUAUAGGCAAUUUGUGACACUUUUCCUCUCUUUUUUACGUGAUCAGCGUGAGUUUUUUUAAACUUUUUGGCCUACUGAUUUUUCUUUUGUUUUGUGGGCUCUUACUAGCUGGCCCAUCUUCUUUAGGGUUUCUAGCUCCUGCGAUCAGGAUUGGGCUCCUCCCCCUGGCUCUUCGUCUCUUUGAAACUCAGAGGAGAGCCUCUGUAAGUUUUAACGUCGUCCGUUUCUUCCUUCAGUCUCAUCAUUUAUUGAUUGCCCACUCAUCCCACUCUCUCUGAAUUAAACAUCAUCAUUAUCAUCAAAGGUAGCCGCUUGAGACUCUUCUUCACUAUAAAACGGUCUCUUCUCUGCGAUGAAUAGCCACAGUUAUACGGGAUCCCUAAUAUGCUUUUCAUGGAUGAGAAGGUAACUCCAGCGAGCUCUGUCUUCGUUUUCCCCACGAAGACUAUGUCUUUGGUUUUAUUUCUAUCUAAGUCAUAUGGAGUUUACAUCUCCGACGUCGUAACGCUUUUACUUUUCCGCCAUAAACCACCAUAUGUGCACCUUCGACGAGGUUACAAUUAUAUUUCAAUUGGUUUUCUGACUGGUGCUUGAAGAUAUAGCUCUGGUGUAUUCAAUUCUCUUUAUGCAAGAUUUACUCUCUUAAAAGGAUAGCAGACAAAGGUCAUGCGGUUGGAAACUCGAUAGAGAGUUGCAAAGAUGAGUCUAAGCCUCGAAACUGUUCUGAGUAGAAGUGGGAAGAUGCAGAGCCAAGGUCCCAGAAAAUAGGAAGAAGAUAACAAUGUCUGUGAGUAGUUCUAUGAUACAAGAACCAGUGAGGACUUGGCAAAAUAAAAUGAUGGAAACCAUUCUUGUGGAGUUCUGAUUGAGACUGGAAAGAAGCUACGAUUUUAUAACAUCAAUGGUAAUAGUUGUUCUCCUGAGAUAGUUUUCUGUCGUUUUAUAUGGACAAGCAUGUUAUAAGGAGAACACUUAUCAUGUUGUGGAAGGACAUGUGUCGAUGAAGGCGUGACAGUCCAGGAGAAGUUCAAUAUUCGUUGAGAAAGAUUCUGUGUAUUUUGCAUUUUUUGGGAUUUGUAAUAUAAAGCUAACAUAUUCUUUGAUUAUUUUAUUUCAUUAAAUUAUGUAAUCUAUAUAUGUUUAACGAAGUUUUUGAUA